GUGACUGACUGGCUUUGAGAGGAAGAGCAAGGAAUCUAACAGUUUUGAGUGCCUUGCAACACAAAGUCAUCAAGGCUUGGAGCUGUUACUGGGAACAGACUGGACCAUGCUGUGUUCCUUCCCAGACCGAAGGCUGAAGCAGGAGGAUUGUGGGUUCAGAGCCACCUUGAACAAAGACACGUUUCCUCGCAUAUUCUUCAAAAUCUUCAGUCCCCGGAACACUCAAAGAAGAGCUAGCUUCUCUGACGUUGUCCUUUUGAUCCUCAGAGUCAAGCUGCUCUAAAGAGGGGAGGUUUCUGCCAAGUUUACCUCAGGACAUUGGCUGAGAACCCUCAGCCCUACCCACACUGGGCCUCAGGCCCUGUCAGGACGAUGUGAGGCCAUGAAUCUCAAAUAAUCAUCUACCACAGACUCUGAAUUACUGUUUGAGAAGUCCCUUCCUUCCUUCUGGGCACACUGCAUAGCUUACAGGCAACGGUGGUCAGUCUCUGGCUUGGGGGCAGUACACUGUUCUAAGUAAUUCCCUCAUUUUGACCCAUUUAACACUCACCAAUGCCUAAUGAUGCAAAUGCUAGGAUGAUUACGGUUGUUUGUUUGUUCAUUGUCAGAGAAAACUGAGAUUUAGAGAAAUUCAGUCAUCUGUCCAAAGUCCCACAGCAAUGGCUUCACGGCAUGCUCUCUGUGACUCCCCCAGUGUUCUCUCAUGGAAUCACAGGCAAAGAAAAGAGCCUUGGCUUUGAAAGGAGAAAAACGUUCUAGUUCUGCAUUCAAGGCGUGAUAUUGGCCAACUUGGUUCUCACUUCUCUACAACGUGGACAGUCUGUUCCAUCAGGAUACGAGCCAAGUGAAGUGACGGAUUAAAAACCCCUGUCCAUACUGGGCUUGCCGCAAGCCCUUCCCUCUCUCCUUAUGCCAGCCUCUGUUCAAGACAAUUGGCCUUAAGUAAUCUUUUAUUUCCUUUUAUUGAAGUAAUCUUUGAGUUUUCUUACCCACAGCCUGGGCAGGGGAAAGAGAACACUGGCUUUUGGCCAGUUCUUCUCACACAAAAAUGAUUGAUAUUGUGCCCACACAAACCUGGAAACGCCCAGAGGGAUAGCUGCAUCGGCUCUGACCCAGCAGAGAUUUCCCCUGAAUUCUACAGAGUUUCAACACAGCCGAGGUUCUUCAAGAGUGGGACAAGCUUCUGGAAACAGAUGCUAGUGUGAGGGAGGUCAGCUCCACUCACCAAAAGGAAAGCCCAUCGUGGAGAACAAACUUAGCCCCUGCCUCCAGGAUGCCACGUAAGAACUCCCACCCUGCAACUUGGCAUCGCCCAGUGUGUCAGAUUUCAAAUAAAGAACUUCUCUGGUACCUAC